rnacentral:rRNA from 1 species
UACGUAGGGACCAAGCGUUGUUCGGAUUUACUGGGCGUAAAGGGCGCGUAGGCGGCAAUUCAAGUCAUCUGUGAAAUCUCCGGGCUUAACUCGGAACGGUCAGAUGAUACUGCUUUGCUAGAGUGCGGAAGGGGCAAUCGGAAUUCUCGGUGUAGCGGUGAAAUGCGUAGAUAUCUGGAGGAACACCGGUGGCGAAGGCGGCAUCCUGGACCGAUAUUGACGCUGAUGCGCGAAAGCCAGGGGAGCAAACGGG